ACAGAUAUCCUCCACCCAAGACAGAAGCCCACAGUCUUUAAUAACUUAAUCUGGAAAGGGACAUGCUAUCACUUCUGCCAUAUUCUACAGGUUACACAGACCAACCCUACUAUAUUGUGAGAAGAGACUACACAUGGUGUAAAUACCAGAAGAUAAAGAUAAUUUGGGCUAUCCAGGAGACUGGUUACCAUGCAGUGUUUCUUAGCAAAACCACCUAGCUGUUUUAUUUGGUUAAGUGUAGUUACACCAGAUAAUUUCACACAGUCCAUUCACUUGUGGGCAUCUGUAACUAGCAAUGAUAUACUGGAAACAGACAAAUGAGAAUAUCACUGUCAACCCUUCCAGAUUGUAGAAGUCCCAUCUUCCUUCCCUCAGGAAACCUCAGGUGUGUCACUCUGAAACAUGGCCAUCUGAUAUAGGGAGAGCAGUGAUUUUCAUCUCUAUACCAAAUAUUGUUAAGGCCUCAUAGAGAAGUUCUAAUAUUUUCUUCUCCCACCCCAGUAUUUGCUUGUGGUGACACCCUCUGAGGUACAUCCUCUCCACUUUGGAAGUCACUACUACCCAAACACCUUGAAAGCAUUAGUAGGACCUGGAUUAGACUUUUCUUGCUCUUUCACUUUGCUUACUUGCUUUCAUGUUGCUGAAAUGUGCCUGGUUUGGUUUCACUUUGUUCCAUUUUCAGAUUUUUAUCUUUUUCCUUUUUUCUCUGCUUUCAUAUUAGAUGUUCUUGUUGGAGAGAUGGUGGUAAGGCUGCUGGCUCACCUUCGUCAUCUGAUCAAGAUGAAAAGCUCCCUGGCCAGGAUGAAAGCAUAGCUGGAACAUCAGAGCAAAAUGAUAUCCUCCAAGUGGUAGAAAAGAGGAUAGCUUGUGGUCCUCCACAGGCUAAACUGAAUGGACAGCAGGCUGCUCUCGCUUCCCAGUAUAGAACUAUGAUGCCUCCUUAUAUGUUUCAACAGUAUCCAAGGAUGACAUAUCCUCCUCUACAUGGUCCCAUGAGAUUCCCACCUUCUUUAUCUGAAGGAAACAAAGGCCUCCGAGGAAGAGGCCCACCUCCUUCAUGGGCCUCAGAACCUGAACGCCCAUCCAUUCUUAGUGCAUCAGAACUGAAGGAGCUUGAUAAAUUUGAUAACCUAGAUGCUGAAGCUGAUGAGGGUUGGGCAGGUGCUCAGAUGGAAGUAGAUUAUACAGAGCAACUGAAUUUCAGUGAUGAUGAUGAACAAGGAAGUAACAGUCCUAAAGAGAAUAACAGUGAGGAUCAAGGUUCGAAAGCCUCUGAAAACAAUGGAAACAAAAAAGAAGCAGAUGAAGUUUCCAACGCUAAAUCAUCUUCUCAAAUACCUGCCCAACCAUCAGUAGCAAAAGUUCCCUUUGGGAAAGGACCUUCAUUUAAUCAGGAACGUGGAACGUCUUCACAUCUGCCACCACCUCCAAAGUUGCUUGCACAGCAGGUAAAUUUUAACUAAAUGCUUCUUUAUGGAUUAUAUGUUUUAUUUGACCUUUUGUUUUGUUUUGGUGGAAAGACACCAAAUUUUUUAUUUAAAACUUUUAUGAAACAGUUACUAACUUUUUACCUUGUGACUCUUACAUGUCUUACUCUUCAUCCUUUUCAUUUUCAUUCUCAGUUGAUAAGCAUGCUCCAAGUUUCACUAAGAAAAUAAGAAGUACCUAGGAGAUAACUUUUUUUUUUUUCCAUUUCACUGUAUACUUUUUCUUCCUGUUGUUUUUGCUGCUAAGGACACUUUUUAACUUUGUUCCUUUUAUCCUUUUCUACUUUUGAUAAUGUUAUCUCUCAUCUUUUCAGAAAAACAACUUCACAAAGACUUCUCUGUUAACAUUACUCCAUCCCACUACCUUCCAUCCCAUUGCAGUCUACCCUAUUUCUCUGUUCUCCAUCAGUGAAAUUGUUUUAGUGAGCUAUUUAUACUUACCGUCUUUUGCUGCUCAUUCUUUCAUUAGCACUCUCCAGGCAUGCUUUCUUUUCCCACUCUACCUUUGAAACUAUUAUUAUCAGAGUCAAUGAUGACUUCCAUCUCGACAAAUUCAGUUUUCUUGUCUUCAUCUCAUUUAAAUCUCAGCUGAGUCAUUGACAUAGUUGAUUACUCCAUCCCUCUUGUGUAUAUGCAUAUAUUUUUAGAGACAGGCUCUUGCUUUCUGGCCCAGGCUGGAGUGCAGUGGUGUAAUCAUAGCUCACUGCCACCUGGACUCCUGGGCUCAAGGGGGUCCUCUCACCUCCCCAGCAGCUGGGGCUACAGGUGCACACCACCACACUGGGCUAAUUUUUUGCAGAGACAGGGUCUCGCCUUCAUGUCCAGGCUGCUCUCGAACUCCUAGACUCAAGCCAUCCACCUUGACCUCCCAAAGUGCUGGAAUUACAGAGUUGAGCCACCAUCCCUGGCCUAUCCUUAAAACACUUUUUUUCCUACUUGCAUCUGAGACACCUCACUAUUUUGUUUUUCUUUGCUUUGUAUUCCUUCUGGGCCUCCUACACUUCGAGUGUUGGAGAACUAAGUCUUGUUCUCAGUCUGUUUUAAAAAUCUGUAUCCUUUUCCUUGGGAAUGUCUUCUAUGAGCUGAUGGCAUUCAAAUGUACAUUUAGGCCAAAAAGCUUUGCCCUGACUUUUAAGAGUCUCAUAUUCAACAAUCAACUCAACAUGUCCACUUGGAUCUCUAGUAAACAGCUCAAAUAUGUCCAAACCAUAACACACACCCCCACUUACCCUACGUAUCCACAGUGCUGCUUCUCCUGUCUUUCCUAUUGCAGGUAAUGGCAUUAUUAUUCACAUAUUUGCUAAGGCUGAAACUUAGAAGUUACUCUUAACGCUUUUUUUUACCCUACAUCUAGCUUUAUCAGCAAAAUGUCACCUCUACCUUCAAAAUAUACACUGACUGUUUGCUACCACCUCUUACUUUCCUUUGAACUAUUGGAGUGGGUUCUUGACAGAUACUGCUUGCCUCUUAUGCUGCCUGCUCACUUGCCACCUUCAUCCCAUAUUCUCCUGUAGUAGUUGUUGUCUUUUUAAAACUAUGUAUUAGGUCCAUUACUCCUUGUUCAGGUCCUUCUCAUGAUCUUUCAGAUCUCUGUCUACUUUUCUAAUUUCAUCUGCUGUUCUCACCACAUACACAUUGCUCUUCCUGACUUCUUUACUUGUUCUUUCUUACAAGCAGAUUUUCUUUUCCUGAAAUCCUUGUUAUGAUCAGGAUCUCCAGACCUUCUCUAAUCACUCUACUGGGAUAUCUGCACAUAUCACAACCAUCACCAUCAUUUCCAGCAGUCCCUCUCCUCAUAACCACUGAAAGCUCUUUAUAGCAUUUCUACAUACACAGAAGCUAAAACUAAAACAUGUAGAAAAAAGUAUAGAAGAUCAAGUGUUCAUGAACUUGGAGCUGACAAAGUUUUCUUUGAUAAAUAAGACCUUGGCCACGAAUUAGGAAAAACAGUUGGUCAGUUGGACUUUGAAGAACAUUUCCCAAAGAAUGCAAAGAUAUGUUGCAGGAAAAAAUCUUCCUAAUACAUCUGACGAAGGACUUGUAUCUAAGCUUUUCUUUUUUUUUUUUUUUGCAGCAGGGUCGUGUUCUGUUCCCCAGGCUGGAACACAAUCUCAGCUCAUUGUAGCCUAAACCUCCUGGGCUCAAGCGAUCCUCCUGCCUCAGCCUACCAAGUAGCUGGGACCACAGGCAUGCGCCUCUAUGCCCGGCUAAUUUUUUAUCUUUUUGUAGAGAUUGGGUUUCGCCGUGUUGCCCAGGCUAGUCUUGAACUCCUGAGCUCAAGCAGUCCUCCUGCUUUGGCCUCCCGAAGUGCUGGGAUUACAGAUGUGAGCCACCAUGUCCAGCCUGGGCCGUUUUUGUUUUUGUUUUUGUUUUUUUUAAUAUCUUACAACUCAAUAAUAAGUAGUUAAACAAAAAGACUCGAACAUUUGUUUCUGAAAAGAAAAUGUAAGAAUGCCCAGUAUGCACAUGGAAAAUUACUCAGUGUCUUUAGUUAUUAGGGAAAUGCAAGUUAAAAUCACUGAGAUUUUACUACACUGCCAAAAUUAAAGACUGAUGACACCAUGUGUUGGCAAGGAUGUACAGAGCAGCUGGCAACCUUAUCCAUUGGAAAACCUUAUAACCACUUUGGAAAACAGUUUGGCAGUUUCUUGUAAAUGAAAUAUAUAUUUACCAUAUGACACAGGAUUUCCACUUCUAGCUGUUUAUCCAACAGCCAUGAAAACGUUCAUUUAUGCAAAGACUUAUGCAUGAAUGUUCAUAGCUGUUUUAUUCAUAGUUUAAAAACUGGAAGCAACCCACAUGUCUAUCAUACAUGAAACAGCAUGCCCACAAUGGAAUACUAUCCAGCAGUAAAAUAGAGCAAACUACUCAUACAUAAAAUAACCUCAGUGCCAUUAUACUUAGCAAAAGAAGUUUGUAUAAAAGACGAAAGAAAGGACAAACAAAACUAUACAAGGUUAGGGUCGGGGUGCUUGGGGCCACAGGGGAGGAAGAGGAGUGAUGGAAAUGCUGUGUCUGCAUUGGAGCAGUGGUUACACAGGUGUAUCAUUUGUCCAAACUCAUCAAACUAUACACUUAAAAUAUGUGCAGCACGUUUUAAGUAAAUUUUACUUCUCUGAAGUGAAUUGUGUAAAUUAG
rnacentral:lncRNA from 10 species